UGGAUGCGUAUCCAUGUUUUAAAGAUCCUAGACAUGCAAUCGAUGAGCUUGGGCGUAUCUUGGGUGGCACCAACAAAAGAUACAUCGAUGAGACCAAGAACAGAUGGGAAAACUUCUGUGCCAAUGUGCAGUUAUAUGGUCUGUGGAAGAAGGUCCUAAAAAAACCCUUUCCUAUUGAUACGUAUGGAGCGGAGUUUACCAUUGCCCUUCUGCAAUCACUACCCUCUCUCUUCCCAUCACCAAAACUGCCACCAAAACGUCUUGGAAAUGCCAGUGAGGCUCUCAUCCAUGUUCUCCAGGGAAACGAGGAUCCCAACAAAUACCUGGAGACGCGUCCACUGUCGUCCCCAGUCCUUUUGUACGAUGGCACUGUGUGCAUUCUCGCCAUUGGUGAGGUUCCUGUUAGCCCCCUGGAAAACGUAUUCGAUGGCAUGAUCACACUGAUGGCGUACUACUAUGCCUUUAAUUUAACGUACCCAAAAUGCAUUGCAACA
ensembl:lncRNA